AUAUCCUGAAGCAAAACAAAUAAUAACAUCAAAACACUUUUUUUUUUUCGUAAACGAAAGUUUUUACGCUCCAAAUAUCACAGGCAAGAUGGGGAAACGUCUGAUUUACAAAGAAAUGAUGGGAAAUACAAGUGAGGAAAUCGGAAUUAAAGCAAAACCAGCUACGUGCAGUUUUGCAUAGUCUACCACAACUCGGUCACAGAUGGGGGAAGGUGAAUUAAAGACAAGAUGGACGCGCCCUGCUCAACUUAGUACAUGGCGGACCAUAAGGUCAGAGAGCACCACCCCGCCUUUCCCACAGAAGAAGAAUGUGGUAGGCUUGCUGUGUGUGAUGAGAGAGAGACUACCUCAACUAUUGGACAGAAACCAGUUGGGUUGAAGAUCAGUCCUUGGAGGGGUCAGAGAGGAACAUUAUAUUGGAAAACCUCCAGGUCCAUUCAGCUGUAUGUGCAGCUCACGAUAUUUCCUGUACUGAAAUGGAGAUGGUGGGAAGUGUGCGGCUUUGUCUCCUUGAGAUGCGGAACCAGCGGCCAGAACUAUAGGCACUAACAUCACACUCUCCAAGCAAGCAACUAUGCAUGAUCCAGACACUGAACUAAAAUAUGUUUUUUUAACUCUGACAGGAAAAUGUAAAAGUACAUAUGUUCCCAAGAGCUGUUUCUAUCCAUCAGCAGC